GUGUCAGCCGCCGCGGUAAUACGUAGGGUGCGAGCGUUGUCCGGAAUUACUGGGCGUAAAGAGCUUGUAGGCGGUUUGUCGCGUCGUCUGUGAAAACUCACAGCUCAACUGUGAGCUUGCAGGCGAUACGGGCAGACUUGAGUACUUCAGGGGAGACUGGAAUUCCUGGUGUAGCGGUGAAAUGCGCAGAUAUCAGGAGGAACACCGGUGGCGAAGGCGGGUCUCUGGGAAGUAACUGACGCUGAGAAGCGAAAGCGUGGGUAGCGAACAGGAUUAGAAACCCUUGUAGUCC
rnacentral:rRNA from 1 species